GGGAAUAUUGCACAAUGGGGGAAACCCUGAUGCAGCGACGCCGCGUGAAGGAUGAAGUAUUUCGGUAUGUAAACUUCUAUCAGCAGGGAAGAAAAUGACGGUACAUGACUAAGAAGCCCCGGCUAACUACGUGCCAGCAGCCGCGGUAAUAAGUAGGGGGCAAGCGUUAUCCGGAUUUACUGGGUGUAAAGGGAGCGUAGACGGAAUUGCAAGUCUGAUGUGAAAAUCCGGGGCCCAACCCCGGAACUGCAUUGGAAACUGUAUUUCUAGAGUGUCGGAGAGGCAAGUGGAAUUCCUGGUGUAGCGGUGAAAUGCGUAGAUAUUAGGAGGAACACCAGUGGCGAAGGCGGCUUACUGGACUGUAACUGACGUUGAGGCUCGAAAGCGUGGGGAGCAAACAGG
rnacentral:rRNA from 1 species